UACGUAGGGGGCGAGCGUUGUCCGGAAUUAUUGGGCGUAAAGAGCGUGUAGGCGGUUCGGUAAGUCUGCCGUGAAAACCUGGGGCUCAACCCUGGAACGCCGGUGGAUACUGUCGGGCUAGAGUCCGGAAGAGGCGAGUGGAAUUCCUGGUGUAGCGGUGGAAUGCGCAGAUAUCAGGAGGAACACCGAUGGCGAAGGCAGCUCGCUGGGACGGUACUGACGCUGAGGCGCGAAAGCGUGGGGAGCGAACAGG
rnacentral:rRNA from 1 species